AUGUAUGACACCGUUGACUUUUUUUUUCAACGUUUGACUAUCCGUCUUAUUAAAAAAUUUAUGUAACUAUCAUUUAUUUUAUUGUGACUUGAUUCAUUAUCAAAUGUUCUUUAAGUAUGACAUAAAUAUUUUCAUAUUUGCACAAAAAAUUUGAAUAAAACGAAUAGUCAAACGUUGAUCGAAAAGUCAACGGCGUCAUGCAUU
rfam:Oryza sativa (indica cultivar-group) chromosome 6, whole genome shotgun sequence.